UAGAAUCUGAGAAUGACCCAGACAUGC
rnacentral:piRNA from 1 species